rnacentral:rRNA from 1 species
AGCGAACGCUGGCGGCAGGCCUAACACAUGCAAGUCGAACGAACUCUUCGGAGUUAGUGGCGGACUGGUGAGUAACACGUGGGAACGUGCCUUUAGGUUCGGAAUAACUCAGGGAAACUUGUGCUAAUACCGAAUGUGCCCUUCGGGGGAAAGAUUUAUCGCCUUUAGAGCGGCCCGCGUCUGAUUAGCUAGUUGGUGAGGUAACGGCUCACCAAGGCGGCGAUCAGUAGCUGGUCUGAGAGGAUGACCAGCCACACUGGGACUGAGACACGGCCCAGACUCCUACGGGAGGCAGCAGUGGGGAAUCUUGCGCAAUGGGCGAAAGCCUGACGCAGCCAUGCCGCGUGAAUGAUGAAGGUCUUAGGAUUGUAAAAUUCUUUCACCGGGGACGAUAAUGACGGUACCCGGAGAAGAAGCCCCGGCUAACUUCGUGCCAGCCGCCGCAGUAAUAC